UACAUAUAAAUCGUUUAAAAACAUUUCAUUUACAAAAUGCAAAAUAAGAAAAAUAUGACUAAAAUCGACAUGUUUAUUUAUGCUUUGAUCAUCAUUUUUAUUACGUUUUUUGUUGAAUCCUUUGCUGAUAAGAAAUAUUUGAAAACUAAUAUCCCUUGCAGAUAUAACAAGGAUUGUCCACCACUACUAAAAAAUUCAGAUUAUGUUUGGCUAUGCAAAGAAAAAUUUUGUGUUAAAAUUGCUGGAGGAUUAUUGUACCCGGACGCACAAGGAUAAAUAAGGAUUUUUUUUUUUUUUUGAUGUACAAGGAUGGUUUUUAUUAGUUUAUAAUCUAAAUAAGGCAUCUUAACAAACCGAUUCCAUGUUUCCCCCGAAUUUCAUCAGUUCCAGAUAUAGAUAUUAGUUGUAAUUUCAAUAUGUUAUUCUUUGCUGAAAGAAAACAAUUGUUAAUAAAGUUUUCUAAGUAAUUUCUUGGAUCUGUAACAAUUUUAUGAGUUAAUUAAAUUUAUACUUUUCAAGAUA